rnacentral:tRNA from 1 species
UCCCCAGUGACUCAGCUGGUAAAGAAUCCACCUGCAAUGUGGGAGACCUGGGUUUGAUCCCUGGGUGGGGAA